UACGGAGGGUGCAAGCGUUAUCCGGAUUCACUGGGUUUAAAGGGUGCGUAGGCGGGCAGGUAAGUCAGUGGUGAAAUCUCCGGGCUUAACCCGGAAACUGCCGUUGAUACUAUCUGUCUUGAAUAUCGUGGAGGUAAGCGGAAUAUGUCAUGUAGCGGUGAAAUGCUUAGAUAUGACAUAGAACACCCAUUGCGAAGGCAGCUUACUACACGAUCAUUGACGCUGAGGCACGAAAGCCAGGGGAGCAAACGGG
rnacentral:rRNA from 1 species